rnacentral:rRNA from 1 species
UACCUACGGGGGGCAGCAGUGGGGAAUAUUGGACAAUGGGGGGAACCCUGAUUCAGCGACGCCGCGUGAGUGAAGAAGUAUUUCGGUAUGUAAAGCUCUAUCAGCAGGGAAGAAAAUGACGGUACCUGACUAAGGAGCCCCGGCUAACUACGUGCCAGCAGCCGCGGUAAUACGUCGGGGGCAAGCGUUAUCCGGAUUUACUGGUUGUAAAGGGAGCGUAAACGGUGCAGCAAGUAUGAUGUGAAAGGUC